GAACUACUCCCUCCGUUCGGAAUUACUUGUCUCGGAAAUGGAUGUAUUUAGAACUAAAAUACGUCUAGAUACAUUUAUUUUUACGACAAGUAAUUCCGAACGGAGUGAGUACACA
rnacentral:pre_miRNA from 1 species